rnacentral:rRNA from 1 species
AGUACGCUCGCAAGGGUGAAACUCCAAGGAAUUGACGGGGGCCCGCACAAGCGGUGGAGCAUGUGGUUUAAUUCGAUGCAACGCGAAGAACCUUACCAGGGCUUGACAUACUACAAAUUCUUUUGAGAAAAAGAAGUGCCUUCGGGAAUGUAGAUACAGGUGGUGCAUGGCUGUCGUCAGCUCGUGUCGUGAGAUGUUGGGUUAAGUCCCGCAACGAGCGCAACCCUUAUUUUUAGUUACUAAUUCGUUAGGUUCUCUAGAAAGACUGCCGGUGACAAACCGGAGGAAGGUGAGGAUGACGUCAAGUCAGCAUGCCCCUUAUGUCCUGGGCUACACACGUGCUACAAUGGUUAAGACAAAGAGUCGCGAGCUCGUGAGAGUCAGCUAAUCUCGUAAACUUAGCCUAAGUUCAGAUUGUAGGCUGCAACUCGCCUACAUGAAGUUGGAAUCGCUAGUAAUCGCAGGUCAGCCAUACUGCGGUGAAUCCGUUCCCGGGCCUUGUACACACCGCCCGUCACACCAUGGAAGCCGACUCUUCCCUAAGUCGUUACUCGAGCCCAUUGGGACGAGGAUGCCGAAGGCAGGGUUGGUGACUAGGGUGAAGUCGUAACAAGGUAACC